GGUUUAAUUCGAAGCAAACGCGAAGAACCUUACCAGGUCUUGACAUCUUCUGACAAUUCCAGAGAUGGAACGUUCCCUUCGGGGACAGAAUGACAGGUGGUGCAUGGUUGUCGUCAGCUCGUGUCGUGAGAUGUUGGGUUAAGUCCCGCAACGAGCGCAACCCUUAUUGUCAGUUGCCAUCAUUAAGUUGGGCACUCUGGCGAGACUGCGGUGACAAACCGGA
rnacentral:rRNA from 1 species